UAAAAGCCCCUUAUAAAACAAAGGGACUAACUGAGCUGGGGGGGAGGGCUGGAAAGUUUAAAGUAGUAUUUUUUAUGAUAAACAGCCACACCUAGAGGGGCAGCAGUACUGUGAAAACAUCAGGUGUGGUGGCUUGAUUGAGGUGAGGUAGAAGGUAAACUGAGGUCUGUAAUUGGACCAGACCUCAGUUCCUGCAAUGCUUUUGAGGUAGCCUGGCCCAGAAUCUCCUUCCCCAUCAGGUGUGUCAGAGGAAGUGGAAGAAUUGUAGCCUGUGAGUCAUCUUCCUGGAUCCCUAUGCUUCUUUCUAGCUCUGUGCUCUUCUCCAGGUACCUCAGCUGACCAAUCUUUGCUUCUGGCUCAGUGUGCUCCCUGGCUGCAAACUGGACUUCUGUGCUGGCUCCCUGAUCCCCUCAUGCCAUGGAACAGUGCAGAGAGCAUGCACUAUAAUCCAAUUAAUUCUCCUUGGGUGGGGGAGGGGGAAAGAAUAGAAAUUGGAGAGCAAGAGGCAGCUGCAGGCAGCUCCUCGCAGGUCAGGGAGAAAAAGAACUUGUUGGAUGGUUGGCUGGCUGCAGUAACAUCAUGGACUCCUAUGGCAGAAAUGUAUUCCAUUGUAUCUUGGAAAAAUGCCAAAUUCUGAGGACAAAGAAUCACAGUAUCCAUGGGACCCAUUCAGAGCUAUUGUUUCAAUCAAUCUGCAGAUUCAGGUGUGUUGUAUCAAGUCUUGUAUGGAAUAUUGGGACAAAAUGUGUCCUGCGUCUAUGCUGUGCUUCCUCCAUCUCCAUGGCAACCUCCUGUGCAGGACCUAGCCACAACUGCAGUCCCCGAGUGUGAGUCUUCAGCUUUUCCUCACUUAUGCUGCUAGCAACAGUAGCUACUCAAAAAGAGGAGGAGAGGAGGUAGAACUAAUGCCUACAACUCACCUGUGAAACAGUCAGCAGAGGGAACAUAAGCUGAACCCCCUAAAAAUGUGCAGCAAUAGGUAUGCAUCUCUGGAUGUUGGAGUUCUGGAAUGCAAUAUGAAGAAUGCAGCUCUGCCCCAUCACAAAUGCAGGUCAACAUCUUCAAGGCACAACUGAGGCCACAGAGAUGCUGGGGAUUUCCUCAUGCAGAUAGCUGCAAACUUUCCAGGUGACAACAAGGCUAGUAGUUCAAAUAGAUGAUGUUUCAACCUCCAUGAGGCUUGUCAGAAGUAAUGAGCAGUAUUUAGGUGGCAACUUAAAUAAUUCAUGAAAGAUCACUUAAUUUCUAGAGUAAAGGUAAUUUCUAGAGUAAUGGCAUGCAGUCUGGGACAUGCCCAUACAUAGCACUGCAAGGCAACAAAGGAGUUAACAUUGUGGGUUUUUUUGUUUGUUUGUUUGUUUGUUUGUUUUUUUUACUGAAACUUGUUUUUAUGGAAGAGAUUGCUGGAAAGAGUGUUCUCUGUCCCUUGACUCUGGAAAGCUUGAUGUUAGCUUGAUCCCCAGUUUGACCUCAGCUCUGGUUAACCUGCUGGGGUCAUAGCCUGGUUGGAAAAAAUACAAAAGAAAAGAUUUGUAACUGUUCAGUACAUUUCCUGACUGGAUGAGCAUUUUCUGGCUGUCACGGAGCUGACAACAGAUAGUUUAACAAUGAUUAGCAUUGCCUGUAUUUGUGGGGAGUGGGCAUGGCAUGAGCAGGGAUUUUUUUUAUUUCAUGCAUCAUUAAAUGCAUCAUUCAUGCAUCAUGGCUUGCUGCAGGGAUUCCAGAAAGAAAAUGCUAUCUCUAAUAAACAGAAAGGAAGAAAGAUUAACAUUCUUCUUAUACAAAUGGGCACUAUGAAAGGAGUCUCAUUUUAUGUUGAACUCUGUAAUGUAUCUAAUUUGAUUGCAUGGAGCAGACCUUAUUAUCCAGCUGCGAGUAAAAAAAAAAAAAAAGUUAUAAAAGAAAAGAGCUUAGUUCAGAAUUCUUUGUUAUAUUAAGUAUUUGUGCUUCUCAUUUGCUUAAAGAUAGAGUCGUUUCCGUGGAGUGGUUGUGUUGUCUGGUGAACUGCAUAUGGGAAUGGGAACCAGGAACUUCUAAAUUCUAGUCCCAGGUCUGACACUUACUCGUGGGGUGGACUUAAGCAAACCACUUAAGAUGACACUUUCAGACUUGGCUGUGCCUAAAAUUAAAUAUCUACAUCCACAUUAGACAUCUAAAUGAAGUGGUCUGAUUUUCAGCAAUGCGGAGCCUCCACGAACUUUGACAGUUUGCCUUCCUUCCCUUCACCCCCGUGUAGAAUAGCGAUAAUGAAACUUUAAAUUUCCCCUCAGUUAAACAACUUAGUUUGAGCUGUGUGGCUGGAUAGGAAAGGCAUAUUAGAGAAGUUAUGCAAAAAAGAAUUGGCAAGAUAUAGACAUAGUCUGGGUGUGAAGACCACGAGAAGGGUCUGAGUCAAAGAUGACACCCCAGUUAUUGGCCUGAGUAACAGACAGGAGGGUGAUGUGGUCCACACGAGAUGGCAGGGAUGUCUUCAGGGAAAUUAAGAGCUUUGCUCCAACCAUGCUGAGCUUGACCUGAUGGUUAGACAUCCAUGAGUAGAUCUCAAAGAGAGAGGCUGAGGUUUUACUUAGGUUUAGGGUAGAGAGUAGAUCUGUGAGUUGUCAUCAUAGAGAUGGUAGUUAAAUUUGUGUUUGCACAUGAGAUUGCCCAGAGAUAAGGUAUAGAAGGA